rnacentral:sRNA from 1 species
GUGUGGUGAGCGGCGGGCCCCGGGCUGGAGGGGCCGGGACUGGGCAGCGCCCAAAGCGCCCCGCGCCUCUUAACGCGGUCUCUCAUAGCCGCUCGCCUUCCUUUCACUUCCUGUUCCUUCAGAAAGUGCUGUGCCUUGGACCAACCUUACUUCUUACUAUUGACAGCUCAGCUAACUCCUAUUCAUCCUUCAAAGCCCAUCUCUGGUAUGGAACGCUGUGGACUCCGGGCACUGCCUGCAGACCUACUCCCUGCACACAGAGGCAGUGCGGGCCGCCCGGUGGGCUCCCUGUGGCCGGCGCAUCCUCAGCGGUGGCUUUGACUUCGCCCUGCACCUAACAGACCUUGAAACAGGAACCCAGCUAUUUAGUGGUCGAAGUGACUUUAGAAUCACUACCUUGAAAUUCCAUCCAAAAGACCACAACAUCUUUUUAUGUGGAGGCUUCAGCUCUGAAAUGAAAGCUUGGGAUAUAAGGACUGGCAAGGUGAUGAGAAGCUACAAGGCGACCAU